rnacentral:rRNA from 1 species
AACGAACGCUGGCGGCGUGGCUAAGGCAUGCAAGUCGCACGGACCUGUUGUUGGGGUAACCCGACGGCAGGUUAGUGGCGGACGGGUGAGUAAUGCAUGGGUAACGUACCCUGGACUCGGGAAUAGCGGCGGGACUUCCGGUUCCCUUUGCGAAAGUGCCGGUAAUACCUGAUGAUCUGGCGGGAUCGCAUGGUCCUGUCAGCAAAGGUCCGCUGGUUCCGGAGCGGUCCAUGUCCUAUCAGCUUGUUGGUGGGGUAACGGCCUACCAAGGCAACGACGGGUACCGGGUGUGAGAGCAUGACCCGGCACAUCGGGACUGAGACACUGCCCGGACACCUACGGGUGGCUGCAGCAACGAAUAUUCCGCAAUGGGCGAAAGCCUGACGGAGCGACGCCGCGUGUAGGAUGAAGUCCCUCGGGAUGUAAACUACUGUCAGGGGUUAGGAAGACCUGACCAACCCCAAAGGAAGCCUCGGCUAACUCCGUGCCAGCAGCCGCGGUAAUACGGAGGAGGCAAGCGUUGUUCGGAAUCACUGGGCUUAAAGCGCGUGUAGGCGGGGUGGAAGGUGUCUUGUGAAAGCCCUCGGCUCAACCGAGGAACUGCAGGGCAAACCAUCACCCUUGAGGCAGGUAGAGGCAAGUGGAACUAUGGGUGGAGCGGUGAAAUGCGUUGAUAUCCAUGGGAACGCCGGUGGCGAAAGCGGCUUGCUGGGCCUGUCCUGACGCUGAGACGCGAAAGCGUGGGUAGCAAACAGGAUUAGAUACCCUGGUAGUCCACGCCGUAAACGAUGCGCACUAGGUACGGGGUUCUCUGACGGAGUCCGUGCCGAAGCAAAAGUGAUAAGUGCGCCGCCUGGGGAGUACGGCCGCAAGGCUAAAACUCAAAGGAAUUGACGGGGGCUCACACAAGCGGUGGAGCAUGUGGAUUAAUUCGAAGCAACGCGAAGAACCUUCCCUGGGUUGGAAAAGCACGGAUACCUCUGUGAAAGCGGAGUAAGCUGCCUUCGGGUGAAACGUGCACAGGUGCUGCAUGGCUGUCGUCAGCUCGUGCUGUGAAGUGUUGGGUUAAGUCCCUUAACGAGCGAAACCCCUGUCGCUAGUUGCCAGCGGUUCGGCCGGGGACUCUAGCGAGACCGCCGGCGUUAAGCCGGAGGAAGGUGGGGACGACGUCAAGUCAUCAUGGCCCUUAAGCCCAGGGUGUCACACGUGCUACAAUGGCCACUACAGAGCGACGCGAUACCGCGAGGUGGAGCAAAUCGCAAAAAAGUGGCCUCAGUUCGGAUUGGAGUCUGCAAUUCGACUCCAUGAAGUUGGAAUCGCUAGUAAUCGCGUAUCAGCCAUGACGCGGUGAAUGUGUUCCUGAGCCUUGUACACACCGCCCGUCAAGUCAUGGAAGCUGGGAGUACCCGAAGUCCGUUUAGCUAACCCGCAAGGGAGGCGGCGGCCGACGGUGAGCUCGGUGACUGGGACU